rnacentral:lncRNA from 1 species
UGUAAAAUAUAUAUAAAUAUGAGCUUAUCAUCUAUCAUCCCAUAGAGAAAGCACUUAGGGGUAGAUUUUCAUAACGAACAUCGACCGUCACCAUAGAGACAUCAAUUUGAACAGCCACACACCAUCGCAAAGGCUUAAAAACAUUAAUACGAAUUCUGAUUCUGAGAAUACUCCCAUAUUACUCAUUCUUUCGACUUUGGUUUGAUAAAAUGUGGUUGUCAAGAAGUUUACCCAUUUAUCUCGUCGUGUAACAAAUCGAAAGUCCUUUAAUUUGAACACAAAAGUCCUGAUAGGAUAAUAGCACAUUUGAUGGUUGUGUUCCAUUAUCUGCCUUUUCCAGUACCAAUAAAUAUUGCUUAUCAUUGAUAGGAGCAUAUUUAUGCGCCUUAGUUAGCUAGUUCUUGUGCAUUUAAGUUGUUUUUCCUUAAGUAAAGUAGUCUUUUAAGCUAGUUUUAUGUAUUUUCAGGUUUUAAGGGCAAAGUAUGCAAAGUGGUGCAUUUUGGAACCUUUUGGAGCACAAUUGAGCUUGGAUUGGACAUCACAUACUUGGAGCCAAAAGAAUGGACGAAAUUGAAGAUUUGAAGAUGAUGAUUCCUACUUGAACAAGGUUUCCUAGUUGAAGUAGGAAAAUGCUUAAUUAAAGAUGGAAUCCUAGUUGACAAAGGAUUCCUAGUUGAAGAAGGUUUCCUAGUUGAAGUGGGAUUCCUAGAAGAUUGAAAAUUCCUACUCAAACAAGGUUUCCUACUUGAAGUAGGAAAGUUAAACCUCAAUGGCCUCAAGUUUCAGCAACAAAGAAGUUUUCCAAGUCCAAGAAGGAAAAGGAAUCCAAGAAGAAGAAGGAUUGAUCAAGUCAAGCUUUCCUAUUCCUAUUAUGCAAAGGUUUCAACUACAAAGAGUAGUCCUAAACACUUUAGGACACCUUAACCUUAUUCUAGAAGGAUGCCGCACCUAUUUCAGCAAGGGAACCCUUUUCCUUGCAUGACAAGACCUUCUAGAUGCCUUAUCCCUUCACACACAUCCUUGCCGUGCCUAUCCCUUCUAGAAGACCCUAGUUCCUUGCCUUGCAAGGUUUUCUAGAAGCCUUAGCAUUCCAGCCGCACCUUGUAGACCUUUUCCCUUGUGGAUUUUGAUUUCUAAGCCUUUUUCCUUGUGGAUUUGGAUUCUACAAGUCCAUAUCUGAUUACCCUAGGGUUUUAAGUGCCUAUAUAUACUCUCAUUCACCCCUUGGCCGAAUGACCACCCCCUAUAUUCACAAUUCACAUCAGAAAACUCAUCCCAUCCUUUGCCGCAGCCAUCACUCAUCAUCCACCAUAAUUCCUGAACCUCAAACACCUUUGCCGCACCUUCCAUUCCCCCUAAACACUAAUAUACCAUCUCCUACCCAUUCAUCCAUACAAAUAACCCCUAGAACCUGACCUUAGACCUUGUGCCGCAGUAAAGAUGAGGAGGAGAAGCUUGGACGUGCAUGCCAUUCAAUUGUGGAGUGCUGGACGUUUUAGGUGUUGUCUUUCCUUUGAUUUCAAUGUUUAAAUUUAUUUGUCUUUGCUUUGUGCGUAUGAGGAACUAAACCCCCCUUGGCUGGGGGGGGAUUCGAAACCAUGUUUAUGCUUGCUAUAUGAUUUGAUUACUUCUAAUUGCGUUUCAUAAGUUGUGAAUUCGAUUUACUUAUCUAUAUGAAUUAAAACUAAUUUGUGUGUGUGGGUUGAGAGUGCACUCUUAAUUUUCAUGCAUAAGUUUGAUGCUAGGAUAUAAGAGAGUUUCACCUAAUCGUUAUGAACUUAUAUUCGAAAGUAGUAAAGGUUGUUGAUCACAAUCGUGUUAAGUAAAUUCUUGGCAUAAGUUUCAUGCAAUUCAUAGUAACAAGUGCCUCGCCAAUGCUUAUGAUUUUCAUAGAACUUAAUGAUCUUUGCUUGUAUCUUUGUUAUGCAAUUCAUGCAGGGAACUUGUGAGGAAUGCUUUGGGUUGUCGUAUGCAAUUCAUCCAAUUCAAUAACUUUAGGAAAAUCUGAGGGUUAAUUAGUGCAAUUCACGGUUAAUCUGGGGCAUUGGGAAUUCAUGGUUUAUUGAGAAGCAAUUGGAAAUCAUUUCGUAUGCAAGUGUGACAUGUGUAGAGAAGAACCCCUUAGCUAGCUUUCCAUCCAUUCACUUUAAUCAAAUUCGUUUUAGAAUCUAUUCAAUUUACAAAGUUUUGUUUUUGUUUUCAAUUUUCGUCAAAACCAAUUCCCCAUUUAUUUUGAAGUGUUAGAUUAGCUAGAAAUCAAUUUAGUUUGUGUUUUUAAGUGCCUUGAGUCAAGUUAUAACCUAUUUUCGUCCAUAUUGUGUUUUGUGUUCAAAACUGCACAGA